rnacentral:rRNA from 1 species
ACGAACGCUGGCGGCGUGCCUAAUACAUGCAAGUAGAACGCUGAAGAGAGGAGCUUGCUCUUCUUGGAUGAGUUGCGAACGGGUGAGUAACGCGUAGGUAACCUGCCUUGUAGCGGGGGAUAACUAUUGGAAACGAUAGCUAAUACCGCAUAACAAUGGAUGACACAUGUCAUUUAUUUGAAAGGGGCAAUUGUUCCACUACAAGAUGGACCUGCGUUGUAUUAGCUAGUAGGUGAGGUAAUGGCUCACCUAGGCGACGAUACAUAGCCGACCUGAGAGGGUGAUCGGCCACACUGGGACUGAGACACGGCCCAGACUCCUACGGGAGGCAGCAGUAGGGAAUCUUCGGCAAUGGGGGCAACCCUGACCGAGCAACGCCGCGUGAGUGAAGAAGGUUUUCGGAUCGUAAAGCUCUGUUGUAAGUCAAGAACGGAUGUGAGAGUGGAAAGUUCACACUGUGACGGUAGCUUACCAGAAAGGGACGGCUAACUACGUGCCAGCAGCCGCGGUAAUACGUAGGUCCCGAGCGUUGUCCGGAUUUAUUGGGCGUAAAGCGAGCGCAGGCGGUUUGAUAAGUCUGAAGUUAAAGGCUGUGGCUCAACCAUAGUUCGCUUUGGAAACUGUCAAACUUGAGUGCAGAAGGGGAGAGUGGAAUUCCAUGUGUAGCGGUGAAAUGCGUAGAUAUAUGGAGGAACACCGGUGGCGAAAGCGGCUCUCUGGUCUGUAACUGACGCUGAGGCUCGAAAGCGUGGGGAGCGAACAGGAUUAGAUACCCUGGUAGUCCACGCCGUAAACGAUGAGUGCUAGGUGUUGGAUCCUUUCCGGGAUUCAGUGCCGCAGCUAACGCAUUAAGCACUCCGCCUGGGGAGUACGACCGCAAGGUUGAAACUCAAAGGAAUUGACGGGGGCCCGCACAAGCGGUGGAGCAUGUGGUUUAAUUCGAAGCAACGCGAAGAACCUUACCAGGUCUUGACAUCCCGAUGCUAUUUCUAGAGAUAGAAAGUUACUUCGGUACAUCGGUGACAGGUGGUGCAUGGUUGUCGUCAGCUCGUGUCGUGAGAUGUUGGGUUAAGUCCCGCAACGAGCGCAACCCCUAUUGUUAGUUGCCAUCAUUCAGUUGGGCACUCUAGCGAGACUGCCGGUAAUAAACCGGAGGAAGGUGGGGAUGACGUCAAAUCAUCAUGCCCCUUAUGACCUGGGCUACACACGUGCUACAAUGGUUGGUACAACGAGUUGCGAGUCGGUGACGGCGAGCUAAUCUCUUAAAGCCAAUCUCAGUUCGGAUUGUAGGCUGCAACUCGCCUACAUGAAGUCGGAAUCGCUAGUAAUCGCGGAUCAGCACGCCGCGGUGAAUACGUUCCCGGGCCUUGUACACACCGCCCGUCACACCACGAGAGUUUGUAACACCCGAAGUCGGUGAGGUAACCUUUUGGAGCCAGCCGCCUAAGGUGGGACAGAUGAUUGGGGUG